rnacentral:rRNA from 1 species
CGGAAACAAAGGUUUUCCGGGAAGGGGGAACCCUGCGGGAAAGGAUUUCUUUGUUCG